GGGCCAGCUUAGCCUAGCGGUUACUUCAGCGAUGUGGAUUUUAUCUACUACAACCUUCACGGUUCGCGUCCCGCGGGCGCUGCCUGGCCUUUUG
rnacentral:vault_RNA from 1 species